GGAUCCAUGGCGUAGUGGUUUGGGUGUUUGAGUAUGAUUCCAAAGACCAGGGUUCGAUUCUCAGCUUGGCCA